rnacentral:lncRNA from 1 species
AUAUCCCUCAUUGGAGAAGCUAGACGUAAAUUCCGUUGUUGGAAAAAUAAAUAGACUGGACUAAAAUUUUAUGAGUGUGGAGUUAGUCGAAAAUAUUUGAGUAGCGCAGUGGUGGAUAGCAACUAUCGCACAGCAAGGAUUGCCUUGCCAAGUUUUAGCAAGCAAGGUUAGUGGGCAAGCUUGGGCAAGACAACCAAGUAGACCUAGAGUUUCAUCCAAGGUUUCAUUAUUAUUUGUUGAUAUCGCACUCUUGGAACAACAAAAUGAAAUCAUGCAAUGAGAUCGGCAAAAGUGACAGUACAUCGGCACAAUGUUCAGAACAUAAGGCAACAUAACCAAAGUGACACUUGCAGAAUACAUCAUUACAAAAAUGUUCAGAAACAUAAGUCAAUCAUAUGGUACUUUCACUCUAAGUACCAUUAUCUACCAAAAUAUAAUAGCACCAUCCCACCUCUGAACCAUCUACUUAAUUAGCCUUGCCACCAAGCACCAAUCCCGCGACAACAACAAAUAAAGCAAGCAGCACAUGCGCGAGUUUGACAUUGUGCCUAUAAUUCCCAAUUGACUUCAGCUCGGCAGUAGCCUUCUGAAGUUGUUGCCACACCGUCUUGAGGUCAUUCCUAAUCUCUCUAAGCUCACAGUUAGCUUUUUCCAAUUCUUCCUCCCACUUCUUGCAUCCUCUUCAGGUUGCACCUUCUUCUUCAUGAGCUUCACCAAAACACCAAAGGCCCUAUCAUCCCAUUCUAGAUCAACCCAAAUCAUGUAACCGC